ACUGCCCAUUCGGAAUGGGAAGCGAGGCUUUGCCACGGAGGAAAAAUAAAACAAAAUGAAGAAGAUGGCACACCCCGGACGUAAAUGAAAGAUUCCAAACGUAGGUCAGUAAUAUAACAAUGGGGAGGUCAGGUGUGAGAAGGGCAGGUGGUUGGCCAGCUGCUGGUUUGCGGUUUGCUAAUUGCAUUGUUCGAUCAAUGUGCGGAAGACCCGCUGGGGCUUUUCUCGUAACUGUUGUGAUAAAUACAUGUACAAGUAGCUCAUUUCCAGUGAUGGUAGAGCUGGAGGCUUGUUGUGGAACCUCUCAUAUUCCAGGCUUUGCACUGUUUCACUACCCUGUGUGUGGCGUGGCGUAGUCGUGGGGGUGUGCUGAUAUCGAUAGACGACAGCCAGCGUCAAGGCCUAGCGGUUCCAAUUAAACCGAUGAUGGAGGGAUUCAAGGUGAAGGGGUUUGUUGCUGCCGUGUUCACUCCAAUGACCGAAAAUGGGGAUGUGAAUGUGGAAGCGAUUGAUCAAUAUGCGACCCAGCUACUGAAUGAUGGAGUUCGCAAUGUAUUCCCCUGUGGUACUACUGGCGAGGGGCUUUCGCUCACCAUCAACGAGAGAAAGCAGAUUGCAGAGAAGUGGAUGCAAGUUGGCAAGGGCAAAUUUGAUGUCAUCAUGGUUCACGUUGGAGCUGACUCGCUCCGAGACACCCAGGAUUUGGCAUCUCAUGCUGCAAGUAUUGGAGCUGACGCGAUAUCCGUCGUGUCACCGACAUACUUCAAGCCCAAAACUGUUGAUCUCUUGCUUCAGUACCUGAAAGAAGUCGGUGCUGCCGCACCGUCGCUACCUCUGUAUUACUACCACAACCCUGGAAUGACAGGUGUAAAAUUUUCAUUGGAAUCCAUAUGGGAGGGUUUGAAGCAGACACCUGUUCCGUCGCUGCGGGGUGUCAAGUUCACCUGUUCUGACUUCUACGACUUGGCUCGAGUCCAGCAUCUGGCUGGGGACAGGUUGCAAAUGCUGUACUCCACGGAUGAGCAACUCCCUCAAGCCUUUUCCCGAGGAAUAGAGGGAUUCAUUGGAAGCACUUACAACUAUGCCGGUAAACCAGCGAACCGCAUGCUUGAAGCUUACCAAAAGGGUGACAUGGAGGCAAUGGAGAAGGAGUAUAUGAUGUACUUGUCGUUCAUUCCAAUACUGUUUAAAUAUGGGGGUGAUGUUGGUAGCAACAAGUGCAUCAUGAAGCUGGCCCGGUGUCCCACCAUCGGUCCGGCCCGCCUGCCCAUCGCAACGCUGGACAAGGAGAGGCUCCAGAGCAUGAACGAAGAGCUGAAGAACAUCGGCUUCUUUGAGUGGAUCAACAAGUAGAGGAGUGGAUCAGCUAGCCCAUCAUCCAGCAGACUGGCAAGGGGAUUGGCUGCUGAUCAAGCAGCAUGUGGUGUCGCUAUUUCGGGAGUUGAUUGAUUUUUUAUACACGGCAGUGGAACUCUUUGAGAGACAAACUUGGUGACUGCAACAGCUGGUGCUCACCGCAGAGCCAAACGAAAGACCGAGGGGAUUGCCGGCAUGUCCAGCUCCUGUGGCAUUUUGGCCAUCUGGGUCCAGACUGACAAAGCUGCUGAGCACAGGAAAAUAUGCUUAGCUAUAUCAGGUUACCAGCCCAACAUAUCAUGUAAUGUGUACCUGCAUUGACUGGUACUCUGCAGAUUCGUGCUUAGCGCACAGCUUUGCCAAGUACAGUCUCCUUCUUGGCAGCUUGGCAGCCGUGGUAUUUGAUAGGUAUCUCUGCGGCAGACUGUUUAUGCACAUUCUUUGGAUAAAGACAGGGCCACAUCAGUAUUACUGUUGACUUUGCACAGCAGAUUGGAAAGUUUUCUUAACUUUCAGCGCAGAAAAUAGUGUGACGUUGUAAUUCCGUUUAGCAGGUUUUGUCCAUUAAUGAGUGAUUUGUUCUUUUGCAACUAAUAACUAGCAUCUUUCAUUUAUUUUGUAGUUUUCGUAUUAUAAUGUAAUAGACUGGUUGUGCCCAGUAAGUCACAUGAGCCACAGUGGGUAUCAAACAUCAAUAAACAUGCAUUUCCCCCAUGGCCAAGUGUGUCAGAAGUGUCAUUUACCAAAAAUAAAACUGAUGAUUGGUAGAGCACUCAGACUACUGAACCCGGCUUUAUUUUUGCUAAACUCUUAAAACAAACAUUGCUAUUGAAGGAUGCCAUGCUUGUUGAUAAUUUUAUACCCACUAAAGGUCAUGUGACUUAGCGGGCCCUAUCGGCCAGUUGUAGCAGGCUAUGCAUUAUAUUUUACGGCCAUACAUGUACACUACCGCAAACAAGUUACGGACCAUUGGAAUAAAAAAAUUUUCUUAAUGUUUCAAACAUCAAA
rnacentral:misc_RNA from 1 species